rnacentral:rRNA from 1 species
UUGAACGCUGGCGGCAUGCCUUACACAUGCAAGUCGAACGGCAGCACGGGUGCUUGCACCUGGUGGCGAGUGGCGAACGGGUGAGUAAUGCAUCGGAACGUGCCUAUUAGUGGGGGAUAACGCUUCGAAAGGAGUGCUAAUACCGCAUAAUCUCUGAGGAGGAAAGCAGGGGACCUUCGGGCCUUGCGCUGAUAGAGCGGCCGAUGUCGGAUUAGCUAGUUGGUGAGGUAAAGGCUCACCAAGGCGACGAUCCGUAGCGGGUCUGAGAGGAUGAUCCGCCACACUGGGACUGAGACACGGCCCAGACUCCUACGGGAGGCAGCAGUGGGGAAUUUUGGACAAUGGGCGCAAGCCUGAUCCAGCCAUGCCGCGUGAGUGAAGAAGGCCUUCGGGUUGUAAAGCUCUUUUGUCCGGGAGCAAGUCCUACUGGCUAAUAUCUGGUGGGGAUGAGAGUACUGGAAGAAUAAGCACCGGCUAACUACGUG